GACGAACGCUGGCGGCGUGCUUAACACAUGCAAGUCGAACGGAAAGGCCCUGCUUUUGUGGGGUGCUCGAGUGGCGAACGGGUGAGUAACACGUGAGUAACCUGCCCUUGACUUUGGGAUAACUUCAGGAAACUGGGGCUAAUACCGGAUAGGAGCUCCUGCUGCAUGGUGGGGGUUGGAAAGUUUCGGCUGUGGGGGAUGGACUCGCGGCUUAUCAGCUUGUUGGUGGGGUAGUGGCUUACCAAGGCUUUGACGGGUAGCCGGCCUGAGAGGGUAACCGGCCACAUUGGGACUGAGAUACGGCCCAGAAUCCUACGGGAGGCAGCAGUGGGGAAUAUUGCACAAUGGGCGGAAGCCUGAUGCAGCAACGCCGCGUGCGGGAUGACGGCCUUCGGGUUGUAAACCGCUUUCGCCUGUGCCGAAGCGUGAGUGACGGUAAUGGGUAAAGAAGCACCGGCUAACUACGUG
rnacentral:rRNA from 1 species